CCUACGGGUGGCAGCAGUGGGGAAUAUUGCGCAAUGGGCGAAAGCCUGACGCAGCGACGCCGCGUGAGGGAUGAAGGCCUUCUGAUCGUAAACCUCUGUUAGCAGGGAAGUACCGCCACUGUGCUAUUCAGCAGUGAAUUGACGGUAUCUGCAAAGGAAGCACCGGCUAACUCCGUGCCAGCAGCCGCGGUAAUACGGAGGGUGCGUGCGUUAAUGGGAAUUACUGGGGGUAAAGGGCGCGUAGGGGGGAUGUCAAGUCAAGUGUGAAAUGCCCGCGCCCAACGGGAGCACUGCCUUUGAAACUGGCAAGCUUGAGUGUGGGAGAGGAAAGUGGAAUUCGUGGUGUAGGAGUGAAAUGCGUAGAUAUCUGGAGGAACAUCGAUUGCGAAGGCGACUAACUGGCACGUAACUGACGCUGAGGAGCGAAAGCGUGGGUAGCAAACAGGAUUAGAUACCCGGGUAGUC
rnacentral:rRNA from 1 species